UACGGGGGGAGCAAGCGUUGUUCGGAUUUACUGGGCGUAAAGGGCGCGUAGGCGGUCAGCACAAGUCAGUUGUGAAAUCUCCGGGCUUAACUCGGAAAGGUCAACUGAUACUGUGCGACUAGAGUGCGGAAGGGGCAACUGGAAUUCUCGGUGUAGCGGUGAAAUGCGUAGAUAUCGAGAGGAACACCUGCGGCGAAGGCGGGUUGCUGGGCUGACACUGACGCUGAGUGCGCGAAAGCCAGGGGAGCGAACGGG
rnacentral:rRNA from 1 species